rnacentral:rRNA from 1 species
UACGUAGGGCGCAAGCGUUGUCCAGAAUUAUUGGGCGUAAAGAGCUCGUAGGCGGUCUGUCGCGUCCGUUGUGAAAACUCGAGGCUCAACCUCGGGCUUGCAGUGGAUACGGGCAGACUAGAGUGCGGUAGGGGAGACUGGAAUUCCUGGUGUAGCGGUGGAAUGCGCAGAUAUCAGGAGGAACACCGAUGGCGAAGGCAGGUCUCUGGGCCGCAACUGACGCUGAGGAGCGAAAGCAUGGGGAGCGAACAGG